ACACUGACGUCGCGACGCAUAUCAAUAAGCGGAGGAAAAGAAACUAACAAGGAUUCCCUUAGUAACGGCGAGUGAAGCGGGAAGAGCUCAAAUUUGAAAUCUUCAAGGUUCUACCUUGACGAAUUGUAGUUUAAAGAAGUGUUUUCCGUUGGAGUUUUGGUAAAAGUUCUUUGGAAUAGGACAUCAUAGAGGGUGAGAAUCCCGUAUUUGACCAUUAUUUCCAGCUUUGUGAUACACUUUCAAAGAGUCGGAUUGUUUGGGAAUGCAGUCCAAAAUGGGUGGUAAAUUUCAUCUAAAGCUAAAUAUUGGCGAGAGACCGAUAGCGAACAAGUACCGUGAGGGAAAGAUGAAAAGAACUUUGAAAAGAGAGUUAAACAGUACGUGAAAUUGUCAAAAGGGAAGCGUUUGACACCAGUGUUGUUUUUCCGAAAAUCAAUUACGAAUGGCUUGAUUCUGUGUUGUAUUGACCUUAUCAGCUUUCUUCACUUUUUUCGAGUCUUUCUUAAUGCACUUUUCGGUUAACAAGUCAACAUCAAUUUCUUUUGUUGUAAAAGAGUAUUCGGAAGGUGGCUUUCUUUUCGGAGAAAGUGUUUAUAGCCCUAUACUUCUACAAUCGGAGAGAUUGAGGUCUGCAGCGUAGAUCCUUCGGGGUUAGAUACACUUGUGCUAAGUUGUAGCUUUUCAUAGACAACUUGUUGACUAUGUUUAGUCAUGCGGCUUACUCGCUUAGUGCUAUUUUACCUACGCUUAGGAUGUUGAGUCGUAGAGCACGCAG
rnacentral:rRNA from 1 species